CGGAGUAUAGCGUAGUGGUUAGCGUUCCUGGUUUGGGACCAGGGGGUCCAAGGUUCAAAUCCUUGUACUCCGA
rnacentral:tRNA from 1 species